GACGUAGGAUGCAAGCGUUGUCCGGAAUUAUUGGGCGUAAAGAGUUCGUAGGCGGUUGCCUAAGUCUGAUGUUAAAGGCCUGAGCUCAACUCGGGUAUGGCAUUGGAAACUGGGCGGCUAGAGUGUGGUAGAGGUAUCGGGAAUUCCUGGUGUAGCGGUGAAAUGCGUAGAUAUCGUCAAGAACACCUAUAGCGAAGGCAGCUUACUAGGCUGUAACUGACGCUGAGGCACGAAAGUGUGGGGAUCAAACAGG
rnacentral:rRNA from 1 species